ACCAGAGUAGGUUUGUGGGGCUGGGGCUAUGGCGGUUAUGUUACUUCAAUGGUUCUCGGUACCGAACAGAACAUAUUUAAGUGUGGAAUUGCCAUAUCUCCUAUUGCAGACUGGCUGUAUUACAAUUCAGCCUUUACUGAACGUGUAUUGGGUUCACCUACAGAAAACUAUAAAGGAUAUGUUGAGGCAGAUGCCACUCAGAGAGCACGUUUAAUAAAAUCAAACUCAUACUUUUUAAUUCACGGAAUAGCUGACACCACCGCCCCUUUUGUUCACGGAGUGCAAUUAUCUCAAUCAUUAACAAGCGCUAAUAUUUUGUUUCGAUAUCAGGCAUAUGCAGAUGAAGGUCACGAAUUAAAUGGAGUGCUUGAACAUUUAUAUUCUUCCAUGGAGCAAUAUUUUGCCGAAUGCUUAAGCUUGGAUCCAGACGAUACGAAGCCAGACAUAGAUC